GUCAGCACACCGUCGUCAGGAGCAAUAUCAAAAUGCUCUGGCCACCAAUGUCUGUUUAUAUUGGUCCUAUCAACAUUUGUGGCCAGAGCAUUUUGAUAUUGCUCCUGACGACGGUGUGCUGACACGCCAAA